AUUUUUAUUUAUUUUAUUUAUUUUUGUUCACGUAUCUAACCACAGCUAAAGCUCUCUGAUCUUUUUCACCAGUCAUCCCAUCAUUAACUGGACAGAACCAGUAUGGGCUGUAUGUGGGUCUGACUCUGACGGUCACCGUCAUCCUGGUCUCAGUGUCUGUGCUGAUAUUCUACAAGAAAAGAUCCUCUAAACGAAAAGGCGACAGACUCAAACAAACUCACCCAUAGUGCACUGAGUUUUCUUAACAAGGCCCGUGUCUCUCCCAGCAACGCCUCCUGUAGUAACACCGAUGAAGUUGUGUCCUCCGUGUCUCGAAAAGUGCACUUUAAGGACUUUAGUCCAGUUUCUACAUGUAAAGCCUCAAACUACCAGAACCUUAAUGGAGCCACCAGAGACCUGGACCAAAUCUACUCCACACUCAAAAUCCCUGACCAGACUCUCCAGACUCAGAGCUGAACAUGAACAUCGAAAAGACUAAAGACUAGAAUAAAAAUCAAAUAAAAUUAAUAUUUCUAGUCUGGGUUAAAAGCCAAGCCAAAAAAAGAUGAUGCAGUGAGUCAGAGUAGCGUCCAGUCAUAAAGCUGGCCAAGCUAGUUUUUGCAUAUUUGUGAAGAAUUCAUGUAUCUGUCAUAUUAGCAGUCAAAACAAAAUCUUUUUAAAAGCACAGAGAAGAUUGUGGUGCAUACAUCAUACAUUUUAUGUGUGGUUGAUCUUCAGAAAAACUCCUUUUACUCAACAUCAAGUAGGAUUAGAAACAACUUUAGAACUUAAUAACUUAAGUUACUUAAUAAAAAGACUCCUCCCUUCUACAUCUAGAAGGGAGGAGUGUCGAGAAUCAAUGAAUCAAACGUUCAACCACUCACAAAUAUCCAAGUCAACAACUGUACAUCAGCAAAACAAGCAGUUUUCAGCUUAUGUUUGUAAAACAAUAAACUGUCAUUUACAAAUACUCGUCUCCAGAGUCGGAAC
ensembl:lncRNA